GAGUUUGAUCCUGGCUCAGGACUAACGCUGGCGGCGUGCCUAACACAUGCAAGUCGAACGAACCAAUCAUUAAUAGCAAUAUCGAUGUGCGGUAAGUGGCGAACGGGUGAGUAAUGCAUAGAUGAUCUACCUUUCAGACGGGGACAACGCAGGGAAACUUGUGCUAAUACCCGAUGAGACCACAUUAAGGGAUUACUGUGGCCAAAGGGGGGCUUCGGCUCUUGCUGGAAGAUGAGUCUAUGUUCUAUCAGCUAGUUGGUGGGGUAAUUGCCUACCAAGGCUAAGACGGAUAGCCGGCCUGAGAGGGUGAACGGCCACACUGGGACUGAGACACGGCCCAGACUCCUACGGGAGGCAGCAGUGAGGAAUUUUCCGCAAUGGGCGCAAGCCUGACGGAGCGACGCCGCGUGAGGGAUGACGGUCUUCGGAUUGUAAACCUCUUUUAUUAAGGAAAAAGAUGCUAUUGUAAAUACCAGUAGUAUUUGAUGGUACUUGAUGAAUAAGCACCGGCUAACUACGUGCCAGCAGCCGCGGUAAUACGUAGGGUGCGAGCGUUGUCCGGAGUUACUGGGCGUAAAGAGCGUGUAGGCGGUUGGAAAAGUCAGGUGUGAAAUGUCUCGGCUCAACCGGGUCACUGCGCCUGAAACUUUCUAACUGGAGUUUGGGAGGGGUAAUCGGAAUUCCUGGUGUAACGGUGAAAUGUGUAGAUAUCAGGAGGAACACCGGUGGCGAANGCGGAUUACUGGACCNAAACUGACGCUGAGACGCGAAAGCGUGGG
rnacentral:rRNA from 1 species